UCCGAAUUGGUGUAGUGGCUAACAUUUGGCGCUCUCAUCGUUGUAAAUGACGGUGAUCCGCCAAGCCCAGGGUUCGAUUCCCUGAUUCGGAG
rnacentral:tRNA from 1 species